UCGAUUGAAAUCACUCUAUUCCAUUCAAAAAUAUAACUUAUUUUUUCUCUCAGAUGACAUUAUGCUCGGAAAAUAGAGGACUCAUAAUUUUACAAGCUAGCCAAAUGAAUUGGAAUUUUUUUCGUUAAGGGUCCGACCAUGUAAUGGUGGUCAUGAAAACAUUCCGUUGGAAGGCGAUGUCACUUUGCUUGUCGAGCAUUUGGAGUGACAGCAGCAGAGUGACACGUUGUGAAGUCGACAUGAAAAGCUGCUUUGUGCUUUUUGAUGCCGCUCGACAGCUUCCACUUUCAUAUGCUAAUGAUGAGCCGAAAUGACUCACUGCAAGGACGCGGAGAGAAAAAGAAAAAAAAAAAAUUCAGUCGAGGAACAGGGAAAAAAAAAAAAAAUAAUCGCAUUUGAAUUAGAAAUAGAUAAUAAUGUAAGCUGCAUCAUUGAGUCAGCAGGAACUCCACGAAGGCUUUAUAUUUGGACUCCAAUUAAAAUCCUGCAAUUAAGUGCUGCAAUUUGCUGGCGGCCGGUUGUGGGUGUACCCCCGCCGACUGCCUGAUGGCAGCUGGGAUUGGCUCCUGCACGCCUGCGACUCUCGUGCGGUAAAGCAGUUUGGAUAAUGGAAUAGAUAUUAAGUGCUAAUUUUCUUUGAGGUGCGAGCGUGGUCACGGGAACACAUUCAACUCGGAUCUCGAGCGGGGGUGGCGGGGGCAGAAAAAAAUACAUGGGCCGUGACUUCUGGAUUUUGUCUUGCAAAAUAUGUAGAUGCUCAAUUAAUAUGAUACAUAAAAUGAUAGAAAGAGAAAAAUGUGCAUACUUUUGUCCCCAAAAAAUCUAAUCGAAGGAAAAUAAAGUCAAUUUUUUCCCAGAUAAAAACUCCCAUUUUUGCAAGAAAAAAAAAAUUUAAUUGUCUAAACGCAAGCUAUAUUUUGGAAAAAAAAAUCAUUUGCAAAUGCAUUGAGUACAAAACGGCGUUCAAAGGAGCUCAGCAGGCAAGUCAACGAAUGACUGUUAAUUCCGUUUAGCAUCAUUUUUUUUUUUUUUCCCCUCCCAGAGGGCGGCAAAGAUCAAACAUGCUUGUGUCAUCGACAUGACACUUCAAAGCGGCAAAUAAUCACGCGCGUCGCGACUCUUACAAGUCCGCGUGUGCGGGCGCACGUGUGUGCUUUGCCUCCUCCAAUAUUUGCGUGGCGACGCAACAGCGAGCCGGCAGGCCGACGGAAGCUCAAACAUCCUUCUGCCGUCAAGAAGCACGCCAACUGAGCUCACGUGCAGCUUUUCGACUCACUUCAAAGUGCACGCACACGCACGCGCACACGCACAAGCACAGAUAGCAUGUUCAGGCAACGCUUUGAUUUUGCCAGUUUUCCUGGGUCCUGUGUGAAAGGUACCACACGAAUCGCUUGCUCGUCCUCACCACUGCAAUGGCAAAUGGAUUUUGGCCUGUUUUACGGCUGCUUCCCCCACCACCCACUCGCCUCAGAUUUUUGUGAAUUUUGCGCAUAUGAAGCAUUUUUAUGAAGUGACGCACAACCGAUUGGUUGUAUAGUUGUUGGGUGGUAGUUGUAUACAGUGUUUUCUUUUUUUAGGUGGGUAAUUGUGCAAUUGGUAAAAUGGUUCGUUGGUUGUGUCGUUAGUUGUGUUGUUUUUUUUAAAUGGUUUGCACGGGUGCAUUGUUGUUGGUGGGUUUUGUAAGUUGUGGUAACUAAGUUGGGUAAUUUGGGUAGUUGGCUCGUGUUUGGGUGUGUGAGUGGUCAGCUGUGUGGUUGGGUAAUUCGUUGAUGUCGUGGGUGCGUUGACAGAUCGUUUAAUUGGUGAAACGGCUCGUUGGUAAGUUCCACACGCACGGCCAACUGCACCCUGCCUCAUUUGCAUACUUCAUGCUUUUUAUAGACAAUCGCACCUUCAAGUGAGCCUGUCGCAUGCGCUUUCCCAAUUCCCCGCGGCGGUUUCAUGGCGAGAGGCGCGGGAUGGCGUGGAUGAGAAGGAAAGCCGAGCUGUCGGCAGUAAUUGAUGCGUUUUGAGGAUCGUCCGCCGCACUCGAUCCCGCGGGGGAUGCCAAAAGCCAGGCAGCGACGCAGGGGCGCUAAAUAACAGGACGCACCGCUACAGGCAUUUCUGUCUUGACUCUUUCAUCAGCAGAGAUGACGUCACUUUGUACAAUUCAACUCAGAGUGGAACAUAAACAGGACAGACAGAAUGUGUGGAUGCCCAUUUGUUUAUUACCGGCAGAAGUGUCGCAUUUUCAUGCAGAAUUUUUCAUUGGAAUAAAAGCACGUGUGACGAGAGGGCAAGUCGGGGCAGCGUUUUGACUUUCUGGACCUGAAUUUGCCAAAUCUGCAAUUUUGUUAGCUCUUGCUUAGUUGGGUGAUCCACUGGUUAGUUGGCUACUUCGGUGGCUCAUUCAUUGACUGGAUAAAUAAGUAAAAUGUUUCUUGCGAGGAAUUCUUUGAAAUACUACAAAUGCAAUACUGGUAAGAAUUCAUGAGAGCUAAAAAAAA